UUUAUAUUACAUGCGGAAAUUGUUACCAUUUUUGAGCCGAAAAUGGUAACAAUUUCCACACGUAAUACAAA
rnacentral:miRNA from 1 species